rnacentral:rRNA from 1 species
UGGGGAAUAUUGGACAAUGGGGGCAACCCUGAUCCAGCCAUGCCGCGUGAGUGAUGAAGGCCUUCGGGUUGUAAAGCUCUUUUGGCGGGGACGAUGAUGACGGUACCCGCAGAAUAAGCCCCGGCUAACUUCGUGCCAGCAGCCGCGGUAAGACGAAGGGGGCUAGCGUUGUUCGGAAUUACUGGGCGUAAAGCGCGUGUAGGCGGUUAUCCAAGUCAGGUGUGAAAGCCUUGAGCUCAACUCAAGAAAUGCACUUGGUACUGGGUGACUAGAGGACCGGAGAGGAUAGUGGAAUUCCCAGUGUAGUGGUGAAAUACGUAGAGAUUGGGAAGAACACCAGUGGCGAAGGCGGCUAUCUGGACGGUUUCUGACGCUAAGACGCGAAAGCGUGGGGAGCAAACAGGAUUAGAUACCCCCGUAGUCC